CCGAGCGUCGUCGGUCCUUCGCGGACUGGACCUCACCGUCCUCUGACCGAAAUUACCCUUCAUUAUGCUUCGGCCCUCGCGGCCGACGAACCAAACCCUUGAACGUUGAAUCUGAGAGGCGAAUGCCUAACCUAGUA
rnacentral:misc_RNA from 1 species